GCAUAUCAAUAAGCGGAGGAAAAGAAACCACACGGGUAUGCCUCAGUACGGCGAGUGAAGCGGCAAAAGCUCAAAUUUGAAAUCCCCAGGGAAUUGUAUUUUGAAGGUUCUUAAAGUUGAUGGCCCCGAUUUUCAAGUUCAUUGGAAAAUGACACCACAGAGGGUGAUAGUCCCGUAGAAAAUCCCCCCCAUCUCUCCCUUUAAGUUCCAAAGAGUCGAGUUGUUUGGGAAUGCAGCUCUAAGUGGGUGGUAAAUUCCAUCUAAAGCUAAAUAUUGGCGAGAGACCGAUAGCGAACAAGUACAGUGAUGGAAAGAUGAAAAGCACUUUGAAAAGAGAGUGAAAAAGUACGUGAAAUUGUUGAAAGGGAAGGGCUUGCAAGCAGACACAACCUCGGUUGGGCCAGCAUCGGGGCGAAGGGGAUUAAAAAAAGGCAGGAAUGUAACUCUCGAGUAUUAUAUCCUACCCCCAUAAUCCCACUUCAUCCCGAGGCCUGCGAUCUUCUAGGAUGCUGGCGUAAUGGUUGCAAGUCGCCCGUCUUGAAACACGGACC
rnacentral:rRNA from 1 species